GAGUGUAUAUUUGGAUGACGAGGGAAACCCCACAACCCUUUUGGGUGUAGGUAAACCCCGCCUUGUGAGGCUAGCCAGCAAAGGACCACAAGGAAGUAAACCAGCCUAGGUUAUCCAUAGCUGACCCGCUCAAACCAUGGGGGCAAAGAUUCGAAUUCGUGACCUUGUGGUUACAAGUGUGGAUCCCUUGCCAUCUUGGCGGGGUUACCCCAAACAAAACUACAAGUAUUGCAACAAAAAACACAAUGAAAGCUAGAGAAUAAAACUUCAUUGCAUUUACAUCAUCCUUGAAUUGCAAAAGUGAUGCCAUACAUGAGCCUAUAUGGUAGGCUAA